GAUCUCUGGUAUGGUGCGCCUGGCCCACCGUCGCAAGGCGUGUGAGUGUCGGUGUGCGCCUGCCAUUUAUCUGGGGAAUGGCACGCACUUAACUGUGCGGGUCGCGAUCCAGGUCCUUUACUUUGAAAAAAUUAGAGUGUUUAAAGCAGGCUUGCGCUAUGAAUACAUUAGCAUGGAAUAAUAAUUUAGGACUUUGUUCCUAUUUUGUUGGUUUCUAGGAAUGAAGUAAUGAUUGAUAGGGAUAGUUGGGGGUGCUAGUAUUCAUCGGCCAGAGGUGAAAUUCUUGGAUUCGAUGAAGACUAACUUAUGCGAAAGCAUU
rnacentral:rRNA from 1 species